rnacentral:rRNA from 1 species
GUGAGCUGGGUUUAGAACGUCGUGAGACAGUUCGGUCUCUAUCUGGUGUGGACGUGCGAUACUUGAAGGGGAGAUCUCCUCAGUACGAGAGGACCGGGAGAUACAGACCUCUGGUGUUCCAGUUAUCCUGCCAAGGGUAGUCGCUGGGUAGCCAUGUUUGGAAAGGAUAAGUGCUGAAGGCAUAUAAGCACGAAGCCCACCUCAAGAUUAGGUAUCGUGUUCUGUAGCAAUACAGGACGUAGGCACCUUGUAGACUACAAGGUUGAUAGGCUGCAGGUGUAAGCCUCGUAAGGGGUUAAGCUAAGCAGUACUAAUAAGCCAAACGCUUGAUCAU